AUUUUAACUCUCUGUCUAUUUUCAUGUCUAUGUUUUUUGCUUGUAGGUACUUCAUCCAUCAGUCGGAGCUUCUUCUAUCAGUGUUGUACAUGGAAUAGAGCAGGAUGCUCAUUUGUAUAUGUUUUAGGAAGGGCACAUACAUAUUUAGGAUGACUUUCCUAAAACAUAUUCAGGAUGCUCAUUUGUAAGAUAUUCACGAAUGAGAAGCUUUGUUUACUGGUUAUAUGUUUUGUUACAAUAACAAUAGGUCUUGCGUUCAAGUAGUGGUUGAACAUUUUGUCCAAUCUUCAGAUUUCAUUUUGUAACCUUUACCUAGAAGCUCGACCAGCAGACUUAGUUCUGGAUCAUCUUCGUCUUCCAAUGAAACUUUAUCUUCAGGAUCAUCAGGUUUUGAAGGUGAGAUGCAAAAUACAUUCAGCUGCACAAAAACAAACACAUUCAGCAGACUUAAUACAUUCAAUUACAUAUUUUAGGAAGGCCAUCCCGAAUUACUAUAAAUCCUUCCCAAAUUAGGAAGGUCAUCCCGAAUUACUAUAAAUCAUUCCCAAAUCAGGAAGGCCAUCCCGAAUUACUAUAAAUCUUUCCCAAAACUAGUUUAAACCAUAAAAAGAAGAGACUGAUUUUACAUGAUUAGAUGCUUCAAUAUUCAGUAUCUGAGAAAGUUGCGGUGAUGGUAAGCUCGUGUAUUUCUCACACAAGAAUGCAGUCGGCUUCUCUAUUAAACUGAUUCGGCUGUAGGCUGUUUGUAGCAGCAGAAAAAAACUAAAUCUAGUAGAUAAGUUCCACAGAUUCAUAAGAACAUCCGCCAUUUGAAACAUCAACCCCAAAUUCAUAUAUACAUAAAGAUUAUAAACUGCAACAUGAAUGUAUUGUAAAACGUUUUUGCUCCAAAAUACUACAAUUACCAUAUGAUAGUAAUAAUAAAUAUCUUAAAAGCAACACAGAAUCAUAGAAGAUUUUCGGGAAGGCUAUCCUGAAUACUUAGCAACACAAAAUCACAGAUUUCUGUACCUUCAAACUUUCAAUGACAAUGGAAGCUAACAUAGCAAGCUUAUGAAUUCAUAUAAUAGUGUCUAUAUAUCACAGAAUGACGGUAGCUUUUGUAUUCAUACAUCUAUAGAUUCAUUAAGUGCAAGGAACUUAAGAACACUUUGUUUGGUUAUAAAUAGAGCAGAGAAACAACACAAACCAUACCAACGAUUAGAAAAUCUUCCAAUGGAAUCAAAAAUCACAAAUAUUAUAGAGAAUCAUUUCUUAAUUUCAGCCAAAGAGAGAACAAUAAAGCCUCAAAUUCAUUUCUAGUACUCAAUCAUUUCUUAAUUUCAGCAAUCUAGAGAACAAAAGAAUGUACUAUGAAUUAAACAUAUCAAGUACACCAUUUUCAUCAACAAUGUUUGAAAUACAAGUAUCCUAAAAUUGAUUCACUUAUAGCAAAGCCCUAUGUCACAAAUCGCAGUGAAAAUGACAGUGAUCUAAUCAAUGUCCUAAAUCGGAAUCGAAUUUCACCAAUUAUCUUUCAGCAUUUGUUGAAUCGAAUCAAGUGAAUGAAAGGACUACAGAAACUCGCCGGAGAAGAAUUGGAGAGUGAGGGAAAUUACACAAACUCACCGGAGAAGAAUGAAUCCGACAAAGUCUUCGAAUCUCCGGUGAAGAAAUCAGAUCCGGUGACGACGAAGGUCGAGGUCGACGGCGAAAGUCGAGGUCGACGGCGAAAGUCGAAGUCGACGGCGAAAGUCGAGGUCGACGGAGUUGUCAAGUUUUUCGAAGGUGAAGUUUGUUGGAAGCGAAGCCGUCGGGUGUGGAAGAAAUGAAAUUAGGUUUUAUAAAAUUAGGUUUUGUGUAUUUUCUGUUUUAAUUAAUUAGAGGAUUAAAAACUUUGUGUGCUAUUUUUGGAAGUUU
rnacentral:lncRNA from 1 species